GGUAAGGUGGACAUCACUGAGCCUGCGCAGGAAAGCUGACAUCACUGAGCCUGCGCAGUAAGAGUUGCCAUCUGAAGGCCCCAGGAAAAGCAACUUUUUGAGCGACUGACCUAGUUUCCCAGCUUGGGCAUGUGCAGUGGUGAAAGCGUUUGUGGCAGGAAAGGUCACCUUGAAGUGCAUCUCACAGCUACAGUCACAUUGAAAGACCACUGUUAUCAAGAAGGGAUCAUCUUUAGAGACUGGGAUACCUCAGAGUUUACAAAUAUUGUGCCAAUUUAAGCUCUUUCAGUGCUUCAGAAGAAUGGCAUCAGUUAAACCAGACUGCUGCUUGGCAGAUAGGUUUCAGCAGAGGCAAACAACUCAGCACAGUGGUUCACUUCUUGUAGCAACAGCAGGUCUCCUCUUCUAUCGGGCAUUGCAGUAGACAGGGUGGAGAUGGAAGAAUGGCCCAGCUAAUGCUGAGUUUUCCUGGAGAAUAAAGACCCACCAGAUAUGCACAAGAAAUGUCCUUGACAUCGCCUCACUCCAUAGACAGAAGACCAGUGACCUCAUCUCUCCCAAAUGCAGAGGGGAAGGGAGGAGGCAGCUGAAUACAGUACAUUGGAGCAAAGAAGUUAGGGGGAG